rnacentral:misc_RNA from 1 species
AACGCACAUUGCGCCCGCCAGUAUUCUGGCGGGCAUGCCUGUUCGAGCGUCAUUUCAACCCUCAGGCCCCUCUCGGCCUGGUGCUGGGGACCGGCGCCGCCCCGGCGGCCGGCUCCGAAACGCAGUGGCGGUCCCGCCGCGGCGUCCUCUGCGUAGUAGACAACCUCGCAUUGGGACGCGGCGCGGCCACGCCGUAAAUCACGCCCAGUCUAGAGUUGACCUCGGAUCAGGUAGGAAUACCCGCUGAACUUAA